GAAAUGCGAUGAGUAGUAUGAAUUGCAGAAUUCAGUGAAUCAUCGAAUCUUUGAACGAACAUUGCGCCCCGUGGUAUUCCAUGGGGCAUGCCUGUUCGAGCGUCAUUUGUACCCUCAAGCUUUGCUUGGUGUUGGGUGUUUGUCCUCUCUGGAGGACUCGCCUCAAAACAAUUGGCAGCCGGCAUAUUGGUAUCGGAGCGCAGCACAAAUCGCGCUUCUUUCCAUCAAUGUCAGCAUCCAUCAAGGCUAUUUUCACUCUUGACCUCGGGUCAGGUAGGGAUACCCGCUGAACUCAA
rnacentral:misc_RNA from 1 species